rnacentral:rRNA from 1 species
UACGUAGGAGGCAAGCGUUGUCCGGAAUUACUGGGCGUAAAGCGCGUGUAGGUGGUGGGACAAGUCUGCUGUGAAAGCGCCUGGCUUAACCGGGCGAGGUCGGCGGAAACUGUCCGACUCGAGGACGGUAGAGGGGGGGUGGAAUUCCCGGUGUAGUGGUGAAAUGCGUAGAGAUCGGGAGGAACACCGAUGGCGAAGGCAGGUCUCUGGGCAUUAACUGACGCUGAGGAGCGAAAGCGUGGGGAGCGAACAGG